UACGGAGGGUGCAAGCGUUAUCCGGAUUUACUGGGUUUAAAGGGUGCGUAGGCGGCUAGGUAAGUCAGUGGUGAAAUCCCCGAGCUCAACUUGGGAACUGCCGUUGAUACUAUCUGUCUUGAAUACCGUGGAGGUGAGCGGAAUAUGUCAUGUAGCGGUGAAAUGCUUAGAGAUUGGGAAGAACACCAGUGGCGAAGGCGGCUAUCUGGACGGUUACUGACGCUAAGACGCGAAAGCGUGGGGAGCAAACAGG
rnacentral:rRNA from 1 species